UACGUCCCAUACAAAGCGACUAAGCCGGGGAGCUUCAUCUGGACACAGUAGCGUCCGCAGGCCAAGCUGUCGUUUCAGUGACUGAGAAAGGGAGCUUCACUUAGACACGAGAACGAGGACUGUCAGUCCAUCGCUCGCCGCCAGCAGGAAUCACUGAAUCAGCACAGAGUGCAUAACAACUAUCAGCUGACAUCCUCCCGCUGAGAUCAUCCAUUUCUUGCUGGCCUUCUACCAAUUUAAAGCUUCGCAUGCCUUUGCUAUCCACAAACCACCGGCAAUGGAAAAUUUUAGAGUCGAACGGCACAAAGCAACGGCAGGCAUAUGCAGAGAGCUAGAGAGGCUUGAGAUGGAGGGAUCAAGCAUAGAAGCACCCAGAUGGUACCUUCGCAGGGGAGAUGACACCGCUGCCUUCCUGCAGGUGUUUGUCUACAGCUCAGGAAGACUGCGGUCUCAUCUGCUGCGCAGAUCAGAGGUUUGAUUACAGCCAAAAGCAACAUUCUGAAAUUCUAAAAUGGAAUCAUAAUCCAUGGCCAACCGCUGCAGCACAACAAACACGGCUGCUACAAAUCGAGACUUCAAAUUGGCGGCAAAUCGGGCUGAGAACGAGCCAACAAAGGCCCCUCAACUGCCUCUAUAUCAGGCUAUACGCUCAUGCAACUGUUUGCAUCUUGUUCCUCGCUGCUUGCUGGUAGUUACUACCGUUGGCGGCCCUGAAUGGCGCCUAACGUUUGUGGCAGUCGUAGUACUGCUAUUGCUAGCUGACGGAAGAGCCAGUCAUUUCUCUGACGAGGAAAGUGAUCCUUUCUUAAAAGAGGCACCUACUAGGCUCUCUGAUUUCUCUUUGAUUGCUGCAGAUGGGGUGCUGGUGCGUGGUGCUGCCGGAGGCCGGGCCGACUUCUGAGCUGCUGCUGGUGUCGAUUCAAAGUUGGUGUCAGGUUGUUUUGUUGUGGCAGGUAUGACUGUGCUUUGGUGAUCCCAUGGCCUUGCUGCCAUUGAGCGUCCCAACCAGCUCCAACCCCAUUGCGGAUCGCUCGGGUCUGUCAGUGCUUGAGUUAAGGAUCUGGUAGAAUUCCUCCACUGAGAAAGAAAAAAAAAAUAACAUAGCAAUGAAACACACUAUUGAAAUGAAAGAAAAUACGGAUUAGAAAUGCCAACUACCUGAUGUGUAUAUGCAUAAGCUAAUGUUCUUUCCCUUUUUAUAGCAGCUUCCUGUUUGUUCA